UAGCGGAUGGAGCCCUUGCGGCAUCCCGAGGCGGCGGUCAUCUGGAGGAGGAUGCUGCGGAGGGCGUCGCGCGGGAAGGGCGCCGUGUCGAUCCUGGCCUUGGCGGCGGAGCGGAGGAAGCGGUCGAGGUGGGCGUCGAGCUCGUAGAGGCAGCCGUCGAGGAGCAUGGCGGUGUCGAACACGCCGUGGCCGCGGUGGACCAUGUGGUCGUCGAUGGGGAGGACCAUCAUCGCGGGAUCAAGGAUGAUGCCGCCCACCACGCUGGAGUACAUGGCCGGGUACGUCGACCUGUUGGUGUUGCUGCUGCAUUUGUCCUGCAGCUUCUGCAGGACCUGCAUUUGACUGACCUUGUUAGUGCAUCGCGAUCGGAGGAACAGAGCUACCAUUGCAUUACUUAAUUUCCUACUAGUAGCUACAACAACAACAGCAACAAAAAGGUAAUUGCUACUUUCCUUACUAGUAUGUGAUGCAGAUAGCACAGAAGAAAGUAAUUUAAUUUGUUGGGAGGGGAGGAAUUGAAGAAGAUAUUGAGAAAAGGUGGAGGAGACUGACUGACCUCGGCGCCAGAUUCGUAGACCGGGACGACGAC
rnacentral:lncRNA from 1 species